GGAAGGCGGCCCUAUAAAAGGCGGCGAGCCCGCCAGCGGCGGCCAUUUGUGUCUGUGGCGUAGACCGAGGCGGGGGGGGAAAAAAAGUAGCCCGUCGGUGAGCGGCUUCAGCGACAGCGUUGGAUGCUGCCAGAACUGGUGAAUUUUCUCCAGCACUUUGUUUCACUAGUGAGGAUUGGCUUCUCCCUGACCAAGUGUAUUUUCUAAUCUUCCUUUGGCGAUAAAGAUUGAUACUGCAGAGAUCUUCAGGUGACUGUCACGAUGGUGGAAGCAGAUCGUCCCGGAAAACUCUUCAUCGGCGGUCUGAAUACUGAAACAAAUGAGAAGGCACUUGAAGCAGUAUUUGGCAAAUAUGGAAGAAUAGUAGAAGUUCUGCUAAUGAAAGAUCGUGAAACAAAUAAGUCAAGGGGCUUUGCUUUUGUUACUUUUGAAAGUCCGGGAGAUGCAAGGGAUGCUGCCAGGGAUAUGAAUGGAAAGUCUUUGGAUGGAAAACCCAUUAAAGUAGAGCAAGCUACUAAACCAGCAUUUGAAAAUAGUGGACGACGUGGACCACCCCCACCCCCAAGAAGCCGUGGUCCUCCUAGGGGGAUUCGAGGUGGAAGAGGAGGUAGUGGAGGAAUGAGAGGUCCACCUCAAAAAGGUGAGCACGGUGAAUGGAUUCAGGAGAUAGAACAGUGCUACCUUAAGAGGAAUGUACAUUUCUUUAGGAGUCCUGACCCCCGGGAUGAUAUGGGAGCAUAUACUGUCUCCUCCAGAGGACCACCACUGAAAAGGGGUCCGCCAGGGCGUGCAAAUGGACCACCACCUAAAAGACCCCUCCCUUCAGGACCGAUGCGAAGCGGGGGAAUGGGUGGAAGAGGAAGUGGGUCAAGAGGACCUCCCUCACGUGAAAGGGACAGUUAUGGUUCACCUCCAUCUCGUAGAGAGAUGAUGCCAUCCAGAAGGGAUGAUUAUAUGCCAAGAGAUGAUUAUUACAACAGCAGAGACAGUUAUUCUAGCAGAGAUUAUCCAAGUUCAAGAGAUUCCAGAGAUUAUGGCCCACCACCAAGGGACUCCUAUAGUUCCCGUGAAUAUUCUCACUCCGGACGUGAUGAUUAUGGCUCCCGAGGAUACAGUGAUCGUGAUGGUUAUGGUGGACGUGAACCACGUGACUACUAUAAUGAUCGCCCAAGUGGUGGCUCCUACAGAGAUUCCUAUGAUGGCUAUGGAUGAGCAUAGAAUCAAAUUGCUUUUGGAAAUAAUGGAAUGCUAUGCCAGUUGGAGGUUGUACCCAAACCUACUAAAAAUGAAGAUAACUAACCAGAUCAAAGUAACAUCUGGAUUGGAAUAGCGUGGUUGUGAAAGAACGUGCAACAAACUAUGGAGCAGUAUGGUGUUUGAGUUUUUUUGAAUAAAAUCAAAGUUUAAAUGCUCAUCCAAUUUAUAAAGUGUAUAUUUUUGCCUAAUUUGGGUCACUACACUUGUUGCAGCAUCUAGUAGAUGUUAAAGAACAGGCAAAUUAUUUUAACGGCUACAGUGAUGAAUGGAACAAUGAAUAUUUACAAAUGUAGGUCUGUUGCAAAACCUGAAAUGAGUUUAGAUGAGGCAAGUGUGAAGAAGCUCAUGAAACAUUGAUGUCAGCAUGAACUAGUUGGACCACAUGGCCUGUUUCCAUGCUACAUAUGAAGGGCAUUGACUCAGUAAUGCUGAGGCUGUUACUUAUAGCUGCAGAAUCUUUUUAAUAAUCAUAUAAUCUCUCAUCUAACCCUUGAAGUUUCUUCUCCCCACUCCUUUCCUGUCCCAGAGGGUUGUUGUGUUCAUUCAUUGACUCUCUACCUGGGCCUCUUGAUUUCAAAGUUCAGUUUGCUGUUUUGUUCUGAAUUUGAAGUAAUUGAGCCUCUUUACUAUUGCCAGAAGGAUGCUGGCAAAUUACUGCUGUCAGUCAAGUCUCAAAAGUGUCAACAGGGCAGUGAUUGAACAGGUUGUGCACCUAUGUUCAGUCUGAGUUUGCCAGGAUCAUUGUGUUCCAGACUUCGUUAGCCUUGUAACAAAUGUUCAAAACUAAAUUUCAAAAGUGAUGAGAUGCUUUUAACAUAAAGGCAACAUUUUGCAAGAGUGACAUAAAGGAGCCUCUGAAAUUGAUUGGAAUUAGACAAUCUCUUGGGAGUCUGUACUUUUUUUUCAAUGAUUGGCUUUCCAUUAAUUGCAUCUGGCUGAGGAUGUGGCUGCUGGAGCCAAGUUCAGCCAACUUUUAACUGCUUCAGUUAGGAUGUUGUCAAAUGUGGGUAUGUUUGGUUCCUCUCCCACCAAUUGUUUGGAUGUGGAAGCUGUGUUUUAAUGAAGCAGACCAGUACAGCCAUUCUGGUUUCAAGUUGAUUGACUGGAAUUUGUGGCACAGUGAUCAAUAAUAAAAUUCUUGAACACAAUUGCACUGUUGAAUUCCCCUUCUGUGAAAAAACUGAAACAAACAUAACCACAAAUACAAAGAUAUGCUCUUGGUCUUCAAUGGAUGUCUUGAGUGCAUAAAAAGAGGCUAUACUGAUCUUUAUGCUCCAGUUUAGCCCCUGCUAGAGUAUUGUUUCAUCAUGCUCACCACCCAAGGGCUUUCUUCUGUCCUGUGGAGAAGAUUUAACACAAUGGUUCCAGGUUGUGAAAUUUUAGAGUUCAGUCUGAAAGGAUGGAUUUAUUCCCUCGAAGCAAAGGAGAUUUGAUCUCCGAUAUUUAGAGUUAACAAAGUGAAGCCAUGAACUGACGGUGCAGCAGCAGUUAUAUGUCAAUUCUCUUUUAGCUUUCUUUAAUUUCAAAAAAUUGAAUGGGAACCUAAAGAUAAGCUUGCCAGAGUAUAGAAAUAUGCAAUGAAUGAAGCUGAUGGAUUGCUGUUCAGGAGAGCCAGCUCGGGGUCUUUUGGGCUGUGUUUUUUUUUUACUCGUGUUGUGACUACUCUUGCAGGAGUCAAAAUAUCGUCUAUAGGUGUGAGGCUAGAAAAGCACAGCUGGUCAGACAGUAUCUGAGGAGUAGGAAAGUCCAUGUUUCGGGCCAAAACUCUUUGUCAGGGCCAGCUCCUCUGCUGUUGACCUUUUCCAGCCUCUCGUUUUAUAGAUUCUGGCUUCCAGCAUCUGUAGUCCUGUAUUGUCUCCAACUCACCUAAAAUCUACUGACUGCUAAAGUUGUGCUAAUAUGCACAAAGCACAUGUUACAGAAUCCUCUCCAACUGCUUGGAUGAUGGCAAAUCAAAAGGCUAGAUCUUCAAUACCUUCAAGGGUAAGCAGUCUGGUGCCUUGGCAUUCCUUGCUGUAUUGCAUAGUGUCUCCAAGUGCCACACCAUUUCUGUCAUGAGCUAGGCUCUCAAGGCUCACAGUUCCUGAAUUCAAAGUCCCAUUCAGAUCCAAAUCUGUUAACACGUCAUUAUUCUUAAGCCAUAGUUGUGGCAGAUGGAUGUUUCUAAUAUUAGAAAUUCCCAUGAGCUAUUUGACAGGAAUAGAAUGGUUUUUUGAAAGUCUGUAGUUUAAAAAGAUGUUUACCCCAAGUAAACAGGAAUCUUAAUUGAUAGGCAAGUGAAGAUUAAUAUUAAUUGAAAGGAAAUUGAUAAUUUAUGGGUUGGGGCUAACUUCAAAUGUCAUGUUGUUUGGAAUACCUAAAAUAUGCCUGUUCACCAUAGUGCAUCUUAGUUAGUGGCCAUAAUUCAAAUGCAUAGCCUGUACUGAUACUUGUUUUCAAAUAAAAUGUUGGUUUUUAUUUUAAA